AUGGCUGACGGUUGAUCGCCGCUCCCUGAUGCUGCCACCCGCUGAAUAAGCAAAUAAGCGGUAACCGGCGAUGACGCGUUAUUACGCGGAGCGCUGACUGGGGUUUCAGAGAUCCAGCAGCGGUGCGGAUGGCAGCGAGCCAGACGCUCACCACCGACACCACGACUGGAGAAAACCCAUCGUCCCGAAGAGCACAGUCGUCAUAGCAGGAAAACGGUACCUACAUGAUGGCGUCAAGAAGCGAGAUAUGCCUGUUGUGGCAUGAUACGCACAAGAACCGAGCAGCUAGACGUUGGCAAGGUGCAACGGACAUUGCCGUGGGCACGUGUGCAAAAAACAGGCAUGCCCGGUAACAAUUACCAUCAGACGAGGGACCUGUCUGCGUCCAAGACGGUGGAUCUGUCUGCGUCUCAGACGAAGGAUCGAGGCACGAACCAACACCACAUAGCGCAUACCGAGACAGGGGAUUGUCUGCUGUGUGCGCCAGCCAACGGAGUUUCUGGACUAAACGCGGUUGCCCGAGAUCGGGCGAAUAUGGAGACGGGCCUCCGCGACAACGGGGGAGUCUGCAGAGAUGGGCCUCCGCUACAACGGGGGAGUCUGCAGAGACGGGCCUCCGCGACAACGGGGGAGUCUGCAGAGACGGGCCUCCGCGACAACCGGCGAGUCUGCAGA